AUGGAGAGUUUGAUUCUGGCUCAGAACGAACGCUGGCGGCGUGGAUAAGACAUGCAAGUCAGCAAAUUAAAAAGAUAGUACCACAAGAGGAAGAGACGGCUAACUCUGUGCCAGCAGCCGCGGUAAUACAGAGGUCUCAAGCGUUGUUCGGAAUCACUGGGCGUAAAGCGUGCGUAGGCUGUUUCGUAAGUCGUGUGUGAAAGGCGCGGGCUCAACCCGCGGACGGCACAUGAUACUGCGAGACUAGAGUAAUGGAGGGGGAACCGGAAUUCUCGGUGUAGCAGUGAAAUGCGUAGAUAUCGAGAGGAACACUCGUGGCGAAGGCGGGUUCCUGGACAUUAACUGACGCUGAGGCACGAAGGCCAGGGGAGCGAAAGGGAUUAGAUACCCCUGUAGUCCUGGCAGUAAACGGUGCACGCUUGGUGUGCGGGGAAUCGACCCCCUGCGUGCCGGAGCUAACGCGUUAAGCGUGCCGCCUGGGGAGUACGGUCGCAAGAUUAAAACUCAAAGAAAUUGACGGGGACCCGCACAAGCGGUGGAGUAUGUGGCUUAAUUCGAUGCAACGCGAAGAACCUUACCUGGGCUUGACAUGUAAUGAACAACAUGUGAAAGCAUGCGACUCUUCGGAGGCGUUACACAGGUGCUGCAUGGCCGUCGUCAGCUCGUGUCGUGAGAUGUUUGGUUAAGUCCAGCAACGAGCGCAACCCCUGUUGCCAGUUACCAGCACGUGAAGGUGGGGACUCUGGCGAGACUGCCCAGAUCAACUGGGAGGAAGGUGGGGACGACGUCAGGUCAGUAUGGCCCUUAUGCCCAGGGCUGCACACGUACUACAAUGCCCAGUACAGAGGGGGCCGAAGCCGCGAGGCGGAGGAAAUCCUGAAAACUGGGCCCAGUUCGGACUGUAGGCUGCAACCCGCCUACACGAAGCCGGAAUCGCUAGUAAUGGCGCAUCAGCUACGGCGCCGUGAAUACGUUCCCGGGUCUUGUACACACCGCCCGUCACAUCAUGGAAGCCGGUCGCACCCGAAGUAUCUGAAGCCAACCGCAAGGAGGCAGGGUCCUAAGGUGAGACUGGUAACUGGGAUGAAGUCGUAACAAGGUAGCCGUAGGGGAACCUGCGGCUGGAUCACCUCCUUUCUAUGGA
rnacentral:rRNA from 1 species